rnacentral:ncRNA from 1 species
AAAAAAAAAAACUUUAUUACUGAUUCGCAAACGUAUGCUUUCAAAGUUCUUUUCUGACGUGCAAAUCUAUCGUCGGAACUGGAUAUAGGGGCGAAAGACUAAUCGAACCAUCUAGUAGUUGGUUACCUCCGAAGUUUCCCUCAGGAUAGCUGGUUCCGCACGGAACGCGCGCAAGUAUCAUCUGGUAAAGCGAAUAAUUAAAGGUCUUGGGUCCGAAACGACCUCAACCUAUUUUCAAACUUUAAAAUGGUGAAACCUCUAACUUUUUUGAACUAUGAAGUCAUGAAUAUCUCGGAUCAGAAUGUCAAGUGGGCUAUUUUUGGUAAGCAGAACUGGCGCUGUGGAAUGAACCAAACGCAGAUUUAAGGCGCCCAACUCGAUGCUUAUGGGACAC